ensembl:snRNA U6 U6 spliceosomal RNA
AUGUUCACUUUGAUAGCAUGUAUUAAAUUGGAACAAUGCAGAGAAGAUUAACAUGACUCCUGUUCAGGGAUGACAGGCAGAUUCAUGAAGCAUUCCAUGUUUUU